AUUGAACGCUGGCGGCAUGCCUUACACAUGCAAGUCGAACGGUAACAGGUCUUCGGAUGCUGACUUGUGGCGAACGGGUGAGUAAUACAUCGGAACGUGCCCGAGAGUGGGGGAUAACGAGGCGAAAGCUUUGCUAAUACCGCAUACGAUCUCAGGAUGAAAGCAGGGGACCCCAAGGCCUUGCGCUCACUGAGCGGCCGAUGGCAGAUUAGGUAGUUGGUGGGAUAAAAGCUUACCAAGCCGACGAUCUGUAGCAGGUCUGGGAGGACGACCCGCGAGACAGGGAGUGAGACACGGCCCAAACUCCUACGGGAGGCAGCACUGGGGAAUUUUGGACAAUGGGCGCAAGCCUGAUCCAGACAUGCCGCGUGUAUGAUGAAGGCAUUCGGGUUGUAAACUGCUUUUGUACGGAACGAAAAGACUCUGGUUAAUACCUGUGGUCCAUGACGGUACCGUAAGAAUAAGCACCGGCUAACUACGUGCCAGCCGCCGCGGUAAUAC
rnacentral:rRNA from 1 species